rnacentral:rRNA from 1 species
GCAUCAAGGUCAUAAGAGCAAGAAAGAAUUGCAAGUACUGGUAAGAGGUAAAUCAGUUAAGCACGCUUGAGCCAGAGGCGUCUUGGGAUGGGUGACCACCUGGGAAGCCCUGGUUACCGGGUGCA